UACGGAGGGUGCAAGCGUUGUCCGGAUUUAUUGGGUUUAAAGGGUGCGUAGGCGGCGCGGUAAGUCGGGUGUGAAAUUUCGAGGCUUAACUUCGAAACUGCAUUCGAUACUGCCGUGCUUGAGGACUGGAGAGGAGACUGGAAUUUACGGUGUAGCGGUGAAAUGCGUAGAUAUCGUAAGGAAGACCAGUGGCGAAGGCGGGUCUCUGGACAGUUCCUGACGCUGAGGCACGAAGGCCAGGGGAGCAAACGGG
rnacentral:rRNA from 1 species